UGGGGAAUAUUGCACAAUGGGGGAAACCCUGAUGCAGCAACGCCGCGUGAAGGAUGAAGGUUUUCGGAUUGUAAACUUCUUUGAUCGGGGACGAAACAAAUGACGGUACCCGAAGAACAAGCCACGGCUAACUACGUGCCAGCAGCCGCGGUAAUACGUAGGUGGCGAGCGUUGUCCGGAAUUACUGGGUGUAAAGGGCGUGUAGGCGGGUCUGCAAGUCAGAUGUGAAAUUCCGAAGCUUAACUUCGGAGCUGCAUUUGAAACUGUGGAUCUUGAGUACUGGAGAGGAAAGCGGAAUUCCUAGUGUAGCGGUGAAAUGCGUAGAUAUUAGGAGGAACACCGGUGGCGAAGGCGGCUUUCUGGACAGAAACUGACGCUGAGGCGCGAAAGCGUGGGGAGCAAACA
rnacentral:rRNA from 1 species